UGGGGAAUAUUGGACAAUGGGGGCAACCCUGAUCCAGCGACGCCGCGUGAAUGAAGAAGGUUUUCGGAUUGUAAAGUUCUUUUGUUGGGGACGAUAAUGACGGUACCCAACGAAUAAGCCCCGGCUAACUUCGUGCCAGCAGCCGCGGUAAUACGAAGGGGGCUAGCGUUGUUCGGAAUGACUGGGCGUAAAGGGAGCGUAGGUGGUAUGAUGCAUGCGGUGUGAAAGUCCCGGGCUUAACCUGGGGAUAGCACUACAUAUGGUCAUGCUAGAGGAUGAAAGAGGAGUAUGGAAUUGUGCGUGUAGAGGUGAAAUUCGUAGAUAUGCACAAGAACACCAAAGGCGAAGGCAAUACUCUGGUUCAUAACUGACACUGAGGCUCGAAAGCGUGGGGAGCAAA
rnacentral:rRNA from 1 species